UGGCAAGCCUCAAUCUCUAUUGUCUA
rnacentral:piRNA from 1 species